ACGAACGCUGGCGGCAUGCUUCAUACAUGCAAGUCGAACGCCCCGCAAGGGGAGUGGCGAACGGGUGAGUAACGCGUAGGAAUCUACCCUAGACUGGGGGACAACCUGGGGAAACUCGGGCUAAUACCGCAUAUUGCCGAAAGGUGAAAGAUUUAUCGGUCUAGGAUGAGCCUGCGUAUGAUUAGCUAGUUGGUAGGGUAAAAGCCUACCAAGGCAACGAUCAUUAGCUGGUUUGAGAGGAUGACCAGCCACAAUGGAACUGAUACACGGUCCAUACUUCUACGGAAGGCAGCAGUAGGGAAUUUUGCGCAAUGGACGAAAGUCUGACGCAGCAAUGCCGCGUGGAGGAAGACGCAUCUUGGUGUGUAAACUCCUGUCGGUGGGGAAAAAGAAAGUGAUUGUACCCACAAAGGAAGCAUCGGCUAACUACGU
rnacentral:rRNA from 1 species